UACGUAGGGGGCUAGCGUUGUCCGGAAUCAUUGGGCGUAAAGCGCGUGUAGGCGGUUCGGUAAGUCCGCUCUGAAAGCCCGGGGCUCAACCUCGGGACGCGGGUGGAUACUGCCAGGCUAGAGUCCGGAAGAGGCGAGUGGAAUUCCUGGUGUAGCGGUGAAAUGCGCAGAUAUCAGGAGGAACACCAAUUGCUAAGGCAGCUCGCUGGGACGGUACUGACGCUGAGACGCGAAAGCGUGGGGAGCGAACAGG
rnacentral:rRNA from 1 species